rnacentral:rRNA from 1 species
CUACGUGCCAGCAGCCGCGGUAAUACGGAGGGUGCGAGCGUUAAUCGGAAUAACUGGGCGUAAAGGGCACGCAGGCGGUGACUUAAGUGAGGUGUGAAAGCCCCGGGCUUAACCUGGGAAUUGCAUUUCAUACUGGGUCGCUAGAGUACUUUAGGGAGGGGUAGAAUUCCACGUGUAGCGGUGAAUGCGUAGAGAUGUGGAGGAAUACCGAAGGCGAAGGCAGCCCCUUGGGAAUGUACUGACGCUCAUGUGCGAAAGCGUGGGGAGCAAACAGGAUUAGAUACCCUGGUAGUCCACGCUGUAAACGAUGUCGAUUUGGGGGUUGAACUUUGAGUUUGGCGCCCGUAGCUAACGUGAUAAAUCGACCGCCUGGGGAGUACGGCCGCAAGGUUAAAACUCAAAUGAAUUGACGGGGGCCCGCACAAGCGGUGGAGCAUGUGGUUUAAUUCGAUGCAACGCGAAGAACCUUACCUACUCUUGACAUCCAGA